UAAUUUUUAAAGCGUUUCGUUCGUUAUGAACGUUCUUCAUAAUGCAUGUAAUUAGUUCUUCGUUUGAACCCGUACUUGUAGCUGACUUGUUUUCUGUGUUGACUACAGAGUGCGCUAGUCGCAAGGGCAGGACGAAGAAGGAGGCGAGCUGUAACACGAACAGACCCAACCCUGCGGGACACGAGCGCAAAAUCGUGGAGAAACUCCAGAAUGCGGAGAAGAAGUCCAAAGAGUGACGCAGAAGAUGUGCGUCAAACGUCUUAUCUUUCCACAUUAACAUCGAGAGAGGACGGCUAUUACUGGCAACCGACCACAGGUGUCUCUGCGGGAAACGGGCGCUGAGCUGCCGCAGGAGUGACUACACGAGCCUCCGCCUCGGGAUGAGAUGAGCGGGCCAGUGUCUCGUCAAGUGGAGAGUUUUGUCGGGCACAUCGCUCGUGUGUGUGUG